CGCGUAGGUGGUUCGAUAAGCGAGAUGUGAAAGCCCCGGGCUUAACCUGGAACGGCAUUUCGAACUGUCGGGCUAGAGUAUGGUAGAGGGUAGUGGAAUUUCCUGUGUAGCGGUGAAAUGCGUAGAUAUAGGAAGGAACACCAGUGGCGAAGGCGGCUACCUGGACCAAUACUGACACUGAGGUGCGAAAGCGUGGGGAGCAAACA
rnacentral:rRNA from 1 species